GAUGAACGCUAGCGGCAGGCCUAAUACAUGCAAGUCGGACGGGAUCCAUUGAUCGCUUGCUAUCACUGGUGAGAGUGGCGCACGGGUGCGUAACGCGUGAGCAACCUGCCUCCAUCAGGGGGAUAGCCUCUCGAAAGGGAGAUUAACACCGCAUAAUAUCAACAGUUCGCAUGUUCUGUUGAUUAAAUAUUUAUAGGAUGGAGAUGGGCUCGCGUGACAUUAGCUAGUUGGUAGGGUAACGGCUUACCAAGGCGACGAUGUCUAGGGGCUCUGAGAGGAGGAUCCCCCAGACUGGUACUGAGACACGUACCAGACUCCUACGGGAGACAGCAGUAAGGGAGAUUGGACAAGGGGCGGAAGCCUGAUCGAGCCAAGCCGGAUGCAGGAUGGCUGCGCUAUGGGUUGUAAACUGCUGGUGGCCAGGAAUAAACCUAAAUACGGGUAUUUAGCUGAAUGUACUGGAAGAAUAAGGAUCGGCUAACUCCGUG
rnacentral:rRNA from 1 species